UACGUAGGGCGCAAGCGUUGUCCGGAAUUAUUGGGCGUAAAGAGCUUGUAGGCGGUCUGUCGCGUCUGCUGUGAAAAUCCGGGGCUCAACCCCGGACUUGCAGUGGGUACGGGCAGACUAGAGUGUGGUAGGGGAGACUGGAAUUCCUGGUGUAGCGGUGAAAUGCGCAGAUAUCAGGAGGAACACCGAUGGCGAAGGCAGGUCUCUGGGCCACUACUGACGCUGAGACGCGAAAGCGUGGGGAGCGAACAGG
rnacentral:rRNA from 1 species